rnacentral:rRNA from 1 species
CCCCUAGAUGUUCUGGGCCGCACGCGCGCUACACUGAACAGUUCAACAAGUCUUAACCUUGGCCGAUAGGUCUGGGUAAUCUUUGAACGCUGUUCGUGAUUGGGAUAGACCUUUGCAAUUAUGGGUCUUCAACGAGGAAUUCCUAGUAAACGCAAGUCAUCAACUUGCACUGAUUACGUCCCUGCCCUUUGUACACACCGCCCGUCGCACCUACCGAUUGAAUGGUCCGGUGAAUCCCACGGACGGAGAACUUCGUGUUUUCCGGAAGUGGAGUGAACCUUACCAUUUAGAGGAAGGUGAAGUCGUAACA